rnacentral:rRNA from 1 species
CCUACGGGAGGCAGCAGUGAGGAAUAUUGGUCAAUGGACGAGAGUCUGAACCAGCCAAGUAGCGUGAAGGAUGACUGCCCUAUGGGUUGUAAACUUCUUUUAUAUGGGAAUAAAAUGUUCCACGUGUGGGAUUUUGUAUGUACCAUAUGAAUAAGGAUCGGCUAAAUCCGGGCCAGCAGCAGCGGUAAUACGGAGGAUCCGAGCGUUAUCCGGAUUUAUUGGGUUUAAAGGGAGCGUAGGUGGAUUGUUAAGUCAGUUGUGAAAGUUUGCGGCUCAACCGUAAAAUGGCAGUUGAAACUGGCAGUCUUGAGUACAGUAGAGGUGGGCGGAAUUCGUGGUGUAGCGGUGAAAUGCUUAGAUAUCACGAAGAACUCCGAUUGCGAAGGCAGUUCACUGGACUGCAACUGACACUGAGGCUCGAAAGUGUGGGUAUCAAACAGGAUUAGAUACCCUUGUAGUC